rnacentral:rRNA from 1 species
AUGAAGUCCUUGUAUGCGGUCAUUGCUCCAUCGACGGCCCUGAAACCGUUUAGCCUGAUAUGGGACAUCCGCCUUCCGCUGAAGAUCCGGAUCUUUCUGUGGCAAUGGAUCCGCGCGCGCCUCCCCUCUGGGAUCGAAGUACUCAAGCUUAAUGACCCGGGCAAUGGGCUCUGCCCCAUCUGUGGCACGAUCGAGGAUGCUAACCACAUCUUCUUCUCGUGCUCCACUGCCCAGUUCAUGUGGGCCUGCUUUCGCGAAACGGUCGGUGGCCAGUGGUGCAAUACCAACUUCCCUGACCUCCUUGCGAAGCUGACCGCCUCCCCUCCGCGCUACCGCCAUAUUAGAUGGCUGUGCGUUGGGAUCCUCGCCUGGACGCUUUGGAACAUUCGCAAAAAGCUUGUCAUUCAGAAGGUCCCUCUUCGACGUGCGACUGACGCUAUCUUCAAAAUGUGA